rnacentral:guide_RNA from 1 species
UAAACGUACAUAUUGUUUUCUCUGCUAAUAUAUGAAGUGAUAAUUUAU